rnacentral:rRNA from 1 species
UAAGGAAUAUUGGUCAAUGGACGAAAGUCUGAACCAGCCAUGCCGCGUGGAGGAUGAAGGUCCUCUGGAUUGUAAACUUCUUUUAUCUGGGACGAAAAAAGGUCUUUCUAGAUCGUCUGACGGUACCAGAUGAAUAAGCACCGGCUAACUCCGUGCCGGCAGCCGCGGUAAUACGGAGGGUGCAAGCGUUAUCCGGAUUCACUGGGUUUAAAGGGUGCGUAGGUGGGUUGGUAAGUCAGUGGUGAAAUCUUCGAGCUUAACUCGGAAACUGCCAUUGAUACUAUCAGUCUUGAAUAUUGUGGAGGUUAGCGGAAUAUGUCAUGUAGCGGUGAAAUGCUUAGAUAUGACAUAGAACACCAAUUGCGAAGGCAGCUGGCUACACAUAUAUUGACACUGAGGCACGAAAGCGUGGGGAUCAAACAGGAUUAGAUACCCUGGUAGUCCACGCCCUAAACUAUGGAUACUCGACAUACGCGAUACACUGUGUGUGUCUGAGCG